CCUGCGGAGGGAUCAUUACCGAGUUGUCGAAAGACAAUCUCCCGUUCUUGAUGUGUGACUAUGUUGCCUUGCCUUCGGGCAGGAUAAAUUCUGAAUCAGUGUUGUCUGAGAACUUUUUAAUCAAUUAAAACUUUCAACAACGGAUCUCUUGGUUCUGGCAUCGAUGAAGAACGCAGCGAAAUGCGAUAAGUAAUGUGAAUUGCAGAAUUCCGUGAAUCAUCGAAUCUUUGAACGCACAUUGCGCCCUUUGGUAUUCCGAAGGGCAUGCCUGUUCGAGCGUCAUUACACUCUCAUUAUGGUGUUGGGAAUUGCGUAAGCACUCCUUAAAAACAGUGGUGAUACGUGUCUACUCACGCAAAGUAAUCUCUGCGAAGGAUAGAUGCGGACGCACCGAAAUCUUCUGUUUGACCUCGGAUCAGGUAGGGAUACCCGCUGAACUUAAGCAUAUCAAUA
rnacentral:rRNA from 1 species